UCUGGAGCUGUGAUUAACCAGGCAGCAACACAUCAUUUCCUCCCGGCGCGGAUCCAGGGAGCCGGGAGGGAGAGAGGAGGCGGCGGGGCGGGGCCGUCCCCGCGCCCCCUGCAGGCGCCCGGCCGAGGGCGAGCCCGCCGAGCCCCGCCGAGCCUGACCGCGCCGCCCCUGGCGCGCCUGGCGCUGUCUGGCCCGUCGCUCUGCCCGCCGGGUGGAAGCUGCGAGCGCGCCGCCCGCGGGGCUACUCGCAGGCAACGAGGCAGGCCGGAGCCGGGCUCCUGUGGCCGGGGUGGGAGGAGAAGAGGCCGCGCGGCGGCACGAGUGAGUGCCCAGAGUGGCAGAAAUCAAAGGAUUUCAAAGCCCAGAUGAUGACAGAUCCCCAUCAUGGAAGGGGCUUGGAUCCCUGAGUCACUGCUUGAAGGAGUGCUGCCUGGGAUGGCUACCUGAUCAUGAACAUCCACACUGGACUUCGCCUGAGCAAGGAAUAAAUAUCCUAUCUUAAGAUAAUGCGAUUCGGAGUUUUUGGCACAUGACCAGCUUCAAUUACCCUGCAUAAUUUACGUGUCUUCUCCCCCUUUCCCAGGCAACUCAUUUGCCUCCCAGAUGUUUGUAUUUGGAAGGAGGUAAGGAGACCCAAGUAAUAACUGAGGUGAAAUUUCUCACCAACUCAUUGGGACUCUGAGAGAUACAUUUCAUUUGAUUGAAAGAAAAGAAAUUACUUUGAAACUAGACGACAUUAUUUCUCCAUCUGAAUUACUUUUGAUUUAUGGGCAAGACAUAAAUUGAGUAAUUCUGGCCUCUCUGACAGACAAGGUUCCCCAACACAUACCUAAUGGUGGUCCUUCCCACCACGAUAAGUAUUGGAUUCUUAGCCUCUUCAGUCCUAUCCUGUUACUGUCAGACCUGUGCAGCCCUUCCUCGCUAUGGUCAGGAGUCUUGGAGGUCUGGAUAGCAAAGAGUUAAGUCUUUCUUUCAGGUCUUUUUCUCCUUCAGUCGAUUAAUUAGAUUGAAAUUUCAACUUCAAGCUGUUCUGCUGGUCUCUAGCUAAUGCCGUCGCCUGAAAUACUGCCCACCACACAUGAGCUUUUGACAGCAAGAGCCGCUCAAAAGCCUCUUCAUGCCUCUAUUCCAGGAAUAACCCAAGGAAAGGGUUGAUAUCUGUGAAAGCUGAGUACUGAAGCUCUCUCUGUCCACCGCUUCAAAAGAAUAACUACCAUCGGUCUGCCUUUAUUUUGUAUUUUAGCUCCUCUUUGUCAAUGAAAAGUUCCUGCUCUCUAUUCAUUAUAAAGAAUAAAGAGCUUUUCAAGUGUGAGUUGCUAAACCCAGAAGGGAACAGAGCUAUUUUUAAGAGGGUUUCAACUCUGAGCUGUUACGUCGGCCAGCCUGCCGGCAGUGGAGGUCUUCCAGGGAGGCCAAAGGCAAGUGGAGCUUCUCUUCGGGUGGGCAUCUCAGGGAGGAAGCUCCUGGGGCUGAAAUGGUCUAGCUCUUUGGCCCACAGACAGCACUGGUGCCUUCAAACCUGGAUCCUCAAGACAGAACUUGCAAGGGGGUCGGGGGAGUCAGUGUGAUUCUCACCCAUUUGAGGUCUGCCUGCUGUCUUAGGUUUCUCACAUCCACUUCCUCUACAUAGGAAACAAUCUGCUUGAUUCUCCUCCUGGGGCAGAGGGAGGAGGGGGGUGUCUUUAUGUCCUCUCCUAUCUUCGUCAAGCCAUAUGCAACUGGCAGCUAGCACGCUUCUCGCUGUGGGAAGAGGAUCAUCAGAGCUGGAUUCCUGACUGAAAGGAGGAACAUGCAGAGUUGCCUGCCUCCUGGCCAACAGGAGUGAAAUCCUCUUGGCUUGGGUCUGUCCAGAGCUCUUCCGAAGUCUGUGCACUGUAGGGGCAUGGUUAGGCUCUCAGAUUCAGAGUUAAAGGACCUGGAUUCAAGUCUCACCUCUCUGAGCCUUCAUUCUCUGAGGUUACAAUGAGGAUAAUAGUAUUUUGCUAUCAGAGGUGCUGCAGGGAGGAUAACCCAUCCUCACAUGUGUAUGGAUAGGCUGUGGACCCUGAAGCCUCAUGGGUGGUGAUCAUUGCUCUGAGCGUCAGUGAGAUACGUGUUAUAACAUCUUUUAAGGACAGGAAAUGAUGCCAUUGGAUGACAGAGGAGAUGUUGAAAAUUCGAUAGAAACUACUAAUGAUUCAGGAGAAAUUAGAUAUUGUUUUCUAUCCUCCCAUUCCAUUCAGUUCCUCCACCAGAGAGAAGGGGCAGGAAACUUAAACUAUGCCUUUGCUCUGAUAGCUUUUGGAAGUAAAAGACAUGGAUGUGUGCUAAAAUGCUAAGAGGGAACCGAAAGGAUCAACCAAUUUUGUGCGGAGUGGCUAAAGAUAAUAGGGAAACCUACUUGAUUAUACUAUAUCUUGUACUACAGAGGAUUUAUGAGAGCUUACAGUAAAUUUUAAAUUUUUUAUUAUGUAUUUAUUUUUAUGUUUUUAAUUGAUACAUAAUAGAUGUACAUACUUUAGGGGUACAUGUGAUCAUUUGAUGCAUUCCUGUAAUCACACCAGGAUAACUGGGAUAUCCAUCACCUUAGCUAUUUUUCUUCAUGCUAGGAACAUCCUAAUUAUUCUCUUCUAGCUGUUUGGAAAUAUACAAAAGAUUAAUGUUAACUAUAGUCACCCCCUGAUCUAUUUCUUCUACUGUACUGCGUGUUUGCAUUCAGUAAUUACCCUCUCUUUAUCACCUCACCUCCCAUCUUUCCUGGCCUCCAGUAACCACCAAUCUACUCUCUAUCUUCAUGAGAUUUACCAGUAAGUUUUUUGUUUUUUGUUUUAAAGGAAAACUUAUAGACAGAAAAAACAUAGGCAAAAUAGGAAGAUUAGGUCUAAGAGAACAGGUACUGCAUAUAUAGACAGGUGACAAGGUUCUACUGCUACAAAAACCGGGCAGCCAAGUAGGCUCUGAGCUACCAGAAGGCCAAAGCAAAAAGGGAAAUAUGAUCUGUCACCAAAUUUAUAUCUUUCUUGAGGAACCCCUUCACCACAACCAAUUUCUCAUCCUUUUUUAUCAUAAGACUUAUAAACGUGGAUAUUUAUCUUCAAGAAGAGAAUACUUAGGGAGUUUCAUUAUGGCCUUCCACAAGUAUUUGAUGGGCUUCCAAGUAUAAAAAAAAAAAGAUUGCUUUGGGUAAUUCCAGACCACAAAACUAGAAUCAAUGAGUGUAAGUUAAGGGGAACAGAUUUGGGUUAAAAAUAAAGAACUUUCUAACAAUUAGAGUUGUCCAUAAACGGAAUGAGCUGUCUGGCAAAGAAGUGAGCUCCCUGUUACUGGAAGUGAUCAAACAGAGGCUGGCUAACCAUCUGUUAAGGAUAAGAAGGAUUUGUGCAUAAUGAGAGAAUUAUGCAACAACAUAAUACAAGGCUCUUCAUGACAGUUUUAUUUAUAAUAGUGAGGGAAAAAAUAGAAUCAACCUAAAUGUCCAACAAAAGGGGAUUUGUUAUUUAUGGUACUUUCCUAUGAUUUUUUUUAUAGAUUUUAUAAAUAUUAACAAUCAGUAAAACAGUGACAGAAAAAAGCUGAUGAUCUUUUGCUAAGUGAAAAAAGCAGCCUACUAAAAUAGCAUACUUAUUGUGAUACAACUUUGUAAAGAAAAGUUUUGUAAACAAAGAUACAUUUUUUCCAUUUUGUUAUUUUUUCCAUUUUAAAAGAAAGAUAAUAUUAAAGAGAGUACACACAUGAAAACAUUAAUAGUGUUUAUCAGAAGUAUUUGAAUUAUGGGUGAUUUUUCUCCUCAGGGCUUGUCAGAGUUUUCCAAGUUUUCUACUUUGAGCAUUUGCCACUUAUUGGGAAAAAAAUUUAACAAAAAUCCCAGAGGAACCCUUCAUUAGUCAUUACUCUAUAGUUUUAAUGAGUUGGUCCCUGAAGUUUUUCAAACCUAGCAUUCUAUGAUUUUCAUUUUAUACUUAGGUCACUUUUUUUUCUCUUAUAAAAUAAGUUGUCAAACAGAACUCAACCAAACAUAAAUACCUCCCCAACAAAUAAAUAGUGGCUUAAAUUAUGAGGCUUAGGUACAACUUAAUGCAUUUCCGACGCUAGAACCAUUUUCAUCUGAAAUCUCUUUUUGAAAUAUGUUGAAUAUAAAUCUACACGUCUGUAUAAUAGAGUAGAAAGAGCUGAGACUUGGAGUCACACACACUUAGUUCUCAAAUUUUGGCUCUGCCACAUACCAGCCUUAGUGUCCUCAACUUUAAUAUGUGACAAUAAUAACAGCUAAGAUUUGUACAAAAUUCAGUGUGUGCCAGGCACUAUUUAAGUGCCUUACACGCAAUGGGAUUCUCAAAACAAUCCUUUGAGGUGAAUGCUAUUGUUAUUUUUCACAUAUAAAAAUUAAGCACAGAGAAUGUCAGUAUUUUGCCAAGUUUGUGCAGCUAGAGAGUGAUGGAGGAAAAAUUCAACCUCAGACACGUUAACCUUAGGAUCCAUGAUAUGAACCACUGUACAUACUGCCUUAUAGAGUGGUGGAAGGAUUCAUUAAAUUAACAUACAUGAAGUGCCUGUUUGGUAGAAAUGUGUUCAGUCUGUAGGUUAGUUUUCUCCCUAAGCUUUUCCAUAGCUAUUUGGCCCCAGGAAGACUUUUGAUUACCUUCCCCAAGACUAUGUGUUCCGCCAAUACACCGGGGGAAGUGUGGCUCUGUGGUAGGUAGUUUUACAACAAACUUAUUAUCAGUGGUACUCAUGUCAAACUCAGGGAUAUUAGAAAUCACGUCCCACAGGCCUCCAUUCUGGGGCUGAUUCUUUAAUAUUUCAUCAAUGAUUUACACGGAAAGAACAGAAAAUAAGCUCCUAGAGCUGACAGAUGAUAGCAUGCUGUUAGCAGAUGACACCCAUCGUCAGUUAGGAAGGCGAGCAUCCAGGACAGGAUUAGAAUUCCAAAUGGUCUGGCAAGAUGGGGAAGAGGUGGAGGCAGAAAGAAUGAACUUCAUUAGCAACUAUCACAACAGUAAUACGUUUAUUAAGAGGAAAAACAGAUUAUACCAACAUAGCAAGAACAAUGACUAGCAAUUAAUGAUUAUUGCCUGAAAGAGUUAAUGGUGGAAGUUACUCAGAACUGGAAAUGAGACAGAAAG